CUCCUUGAUAAAAAUUAAGAUAAAAAUUAUAAAUAACAGAAAACAGUGGUGGAAUCUAUGCGAAUAGAUAAUACCUGAUGAUGAGGAACAUAAGGUUCUUGAAAUUUGAGAGAAUAUUGUGGUUCGCGUGUUAUAAAUUGAGGAGGAGGAAUAAGA